rnacentral:rRNA from 1 species
GAACGAUGAAGCCUAGCUUGCUAGGUGGAUUAGUGGCGCACGGGUGAGUAAUAUAUAGGUAACGUGCCUCUUAGUCUGGGAUAGCCAUUGGAAACGAUGAUUAAUACUAGAUACUCCUUCUCUUUAUAAUGAGAGUCGGGAAAGUUUUUCGCUAAGAGAUCGGCCUAUUUCCCAUCAGCUUGUUGGUAGUGUAAGAGACUACCAAGGCUAUGACGGGUAGCGGGUUUGAGAGGAUGAUCCGCCACACUGGUACUGAGACACGGACCAGACUCCUACGGGAGGCAGCAGUGAGGAAUAUUGCACAAUGGAGGAAACUCUGAUGCAGCAACGCCGCGUGGAGGAUGACGCAUUUCGGUGUGUAAACUCCUUUUAUAUGUCAAGAAAAUGACGGUAGCAUAUGAAUAAGCACCGGCUAACUCCGUGCCAGCAGCCGCGGUAAUACGGAGGGUGCAAGCGUUAUUCGGAAUCACUGGGCGUAAAGGACGCGUAGGCGGGAUGCCAAGUCUGAUGUGAAAUCCUAUGGCUCAACCAUAGAACUGCAUUGGAAACUGGUAACCUAGAGUAUGGGAGGGGGAGAUGGAAUUAGUGGUGUAGGGGUAAAAUCCGUAGAUAUCACUAGGAAUACCGAAAGCGAAGGCGAUCUCCUGGAACAAUACUGACGCUAAGGCGUGAAAGCGUGGGGAGCAAACGGGAUUAGAUACCCCGGUAGUCCACGCCCUAAACGAUGUUCACUAGUCGUCGGAAUGCUAGUCAUUUCGGUGAUGCACUUAACAGAUUAAGUGAACCGCCUGGGGAGUACG